CGUCCCCUUCUUGGUCAUUUAGAGGAAGUAAAAGUCGUAACAAGGUUACUUCUGUAGCGCAGCUCCGGAGACCUUGCACCCCUUAUGGGAGGCAGCCGACAGUAAACAAAGCUCGCCGCGUGCAAGUUGGCUUAAAUGUCAGCAAACAAUCGAAUUGACGGGGACCUCCUAAAGCCUGCAACACCAACCGUCCGGGAAACUCGGGCGGGGCCCUCACGGGGUGGUAAGAGAGUGUAGGAUGUUCAAUGGACGAUCCGCAGCGAAGACCCUACCGGCUACCAAGCCCACGGGUCCGUUCACAGACUAAGUGAUUGUGGGCGGGGCUUCAUGCCCUGUCUAAGUAUAGUCGGCCUCUGUGCGAAAGCCUAGAGAAGCGCGUCCGUAGGUGAACUGCGGAAGGAUCAUUAAAGAACGCCCCGUUUUUUGAAAUGGGUAAUUCCAAACCGUGUCUAAUAUACCUUUGUUGCUUUGGCAGGCCGCCUUCUAGGGUCGGCUCCGGCUGACUGCGCUUGCCAGAGGACCCAAACUCGUUUUGUUAGUGUCGUCUGAGUACUAUAUAAUAGUUUAAAACUUUCAACAACGGAUCCUUGGUUCUGGCAUCGAUGAAGAACGCAGCGAAAUGCGAUAAGUAAUGUAAUUGCAGAAUUCAGUGAAUCAUCGAAUCUUUGAACGCACAUUGCGCCCUUGGUAUUCCGAGGGGCAUGCCUGUUCGAGCGUCAUUAUAACCAUUCAAUUUCGACUUGGUAUUGGGGUUCGCGGUUUCGCGGCCCUUAAAAUCAGUGCGGUGCCAUCUGGCUCUAAGCGUAGUAAUUCUCUCGCUACAGGGUCCGGUGGUUGCUUGCCAGAAUCCCCCACUUUUAUAGGUUGACCUCGGAUCAGGAGGGAUACCCGCUGAACUUAAGCAUAUCAAUAAGCGG
rnacentral:rRNA from 1 species